rnacentral:rRNA from 1 species
UACGUAGGGUGCGAGCGUUGUCCGGAAUUAUUGGGCGUAAAGGGCUCGUAGGCGGUUUGUCGCGUCGGGAGUGAAAACACUGGGCUUAACUCAGUGCUUGCUUCCGAUACGGGCAGACUAGAGGUAUGCAGGGGAGAACGGAAUUCCUAGUGUAGCGGUGAAAUGCGUAGAUAUUAGGAGGAAUACCAGUAGCGAAGGCGGCUCUCUGGAACGGUACUGACGCUGAGACGCGAAAGCGUGGGGAGCGAACAGG